GCUCUAUCUAGUUGUACUGGAUUAUCAGUAGAAACCUGGAUAUUUUUAUGGGCCUCUGCAAGAGUGGGGUCUUCCCAUUGUGCUUUCCUGAAGUUAACAGGACUGACUUCUAAUUCAGGGAAGUUAAUGCCAUGAUCCUGAUCAUUAUCAGACUCCUGACUAUCGUGGCCCGGGUCAUCUCCUACUAAAGCUGGCCUGUGACUUGAGGCUUCAGCAUUCUCUGUUCUUAUGCCCAGUCCUUCCCAUUCUAUGUCAGAAAAAGGGAACACAUUUCCAGAAUCAUCAUCAUUUGCUAUACA